UCCCUGGUGGUCCAGUGGCUAAGACUCCAAGCUCCCAAGGCAGGGGACCCAGGUUCGAUCCCUGGUCAGGGAA
rnacentral:tRNA from 1 species